GACGUAGGGGGCGAGCGUUAUCCGGAUUCACUGGGCGUAAAGGGCGCGCAGGCGGCUACGUAAGUCCGGCGUGAAAUCCCAUGGCUUAACUGUGGAACUGCGUCGGAUACUGCGUUGGCUUGAGGAUGGUAGAGGCCAUUAGAACUAGCGGUGUAGCGGUGAAAUGCGCAGAUAUCGCUAGGAAUGCCGGGUGGCGAAGGCGGAUGGCUGGGCCACUCCUGACGCUGGAGGCGCGAAAGCUAGGGGAGCGAACCGG
rnacentral:rRNA from 1 species